UACGGAGGGCGCAAGCGAUGUUCGGAGUCAUUGGGCGUAAAGCGCGCUUGGGCGGUCUGGUCAGUCGGGUGUGAAAGCCCGGAGCUCAACUCCGGAACUGCACUCGAUACUGCCAGGCUAGAGUCCCGGAGAGGGUGGUGGAAUUCCCGGUGUAGAGGUGAAAUUCGUAGAUAUCGGGAGGAACACCAGUGGCGAAGGCGGCCACCUGGACGGUGACUGACGCUGAGACGCGAAAGCGUGGGGAGCAAACAGG
rnacentral:rRNA from 1 species